GAGUUUCAAAAGUAUAGUUUUGAAAGUAUAAUUUUGACUCUCCAACAUUUACUAUAUAUAUCCUAGGUAUAAAAGUUUACUUACCAAAUAAGUAUAUACCUAUAAGUCUCAUAUAUUAUGAAUAUAAGUGUUUGUAAUUCCAUACAAACAAAAGUUGCUACAUAUAAAUCUUAUUUAAGUUCUCUACGAGUAAAACCACUACGUAUAAAUCUAUUUCAAUUCUAUACGAGUAUGUGUGCUAGGUAUAAUUAUCUACUUAAUAGACAAGUUGUACCUAGGGUAUAAGUAGGGGAAACUUAUACUUAACAUUAAUACUUGUAUAGCGACGAAGUAUAAUGUUUAUAACAAGUUGCUACCAUGAGUCUGUAACCGCUGCUUGACAACAAAACCUCUGACAAAACAAUACACUCAUGAUUUAUCAUGAGAAACAAUACACUCAUGAUUUACCAUGAGAAACAAACACUGCGCGCUUCAUCGACGUCGGAAUAAAAAUAAAAGGAACGAUUCGUCACUCGCUUGUCUUGGGUUGUAAUCAACCACGAGUGGGGUCGUCAACCCGUAUCUUAUUCAUACACGACUUCCUCGCUCACACGGGAUUAACGGUUACAGGUCAGAGGACUUCCACUAAGAUCCCCAAUCUUAGUUGAUGAAUGAGGUAGCUCAUGUAGACUUUGACGGCUUCCUAUAGCUCUAACAACAAAAGCAUUUUCAUGUCUAAAACCCUAAGUCACUAGACUAUGCUUUUAAACAUUACUCCUAACUUCAUAACAUUUAGGCAGUAUAACAGCUAUAUCUUGAAGUAAAACCAGGUUUUAUAUUGACCUAAAACCAAUAAUAACAACAUAUAACGUUCCUAGUUUUAUCUUGACAUAAAACUAUCAAUAGCUAUACUAAGUUUUAUCUUAACAUAAAACUAAUCAAUAACAACAUAUAACAUAUCCAGUUUUAUCUUGACAUAAAACCAAUAACAACAACAUAUAACAAACACGGUUUUAUCUUGACAUAAAACCAAUAAUAACAACAUAUUUAUCAAUUAACAUAUAGGACUUCCGAGUAUAACUCUGGAACUAUAUCGCACACAUAAUAUAUAUAGAAUCCUAAGUAUAACUCAAGAUCUACAUUAGUAUACUACUAUAACAAUAACAUACUAACAACUUUACGAUAGUUGUAUAAUUUCAUAUACGAAAUAACUAUAUCCCGGUUAUUAUAACUAUCUACGUUGAUACUAAUAUACUAUCAUAUAGACAUAAUAAUAACGUAUAUAUAAUAUUUAGCAUGCGUUUUCCCCCGAAAAUAUUAGAAAGUGGGGCCGUGAAACUCACCUUAGUAGCGUGAUUUUAUGUAAUCUAAGUAGAAACGGUCAGCGUACGAGGUCGUCGUGCUUGGGAUGCAAGAGGGCUUCAGCAAAUGAGAGAGGAGAAAGGAGAUCAGGUGUAAGAAUGGCUGGGGUCGAUCUUGCUAUUUAUAGUAAGACUUUUGGUCCUCACGACGUGAAAACUCAUUGUUCACGUCGUCAGUUUGGAUCUUAUCUCUUCUAGACUUGUCAUCCGUCUUCUAGCUUCCGCAGGUGGCAAAAUGAGCCCUCACGACGUGAAAAAUGCCUUGUGUGAGUUUGGAUCUUAUCCCCUCGUAGCCUCGUCACACCUUCUAGAUCCGAAAUAUGGUGGUUUGACUACUCACGUCGUGAGUUUUUAUGCUCACCUCGUGAGUUCAGUCAAAUUAGGGUUUUCUGACAACGACAUCUUCGGAAGGCCAUAACUUUUGCAUACGAACUCCGUAUUUGACGUUCUUUAUAUGCACGCGUAGGUAAUUCCGAGUAAUACAACUCUCUAAUAGAUUACAAUAGAUAAAUCUAAGCGUACUUUAAAUUACUCUUGUUAUAAAGAUUUUAUAGUGUUCGGUUUAUCAUAACUUCUUAAUGCGAAGCCAGAUUUCGAUGUUCUCUACAUUUUUGGAAUCGUAUGGACAUAUACUUUGAUUCAUACUAUAAAGUAUGUAUGAAAGUUCAUAUUUAUAUUAGAAUUAUCAUGAAAUACAUAGUAAGUUUACUACAUUACUAGUUUUAACAAAAUCACAUUACAUGAUUGGUAUAAUCACAUGUGAUUGUUAUUGACCUAUUUUGACUAGUGUUACAUUCUCCCCCCGUUGAAGUAAAUUUCGUCCCAAAAUUUAUCUUUAACUAGAUACCACCGAAGGUUACUAGAUAGAUUCCCUACUUCCUAUUACAAUUGCGCUACCACGACCUAACUUCAUUGACCCCUUAACUUUAGACAUUCCUUCUUGAUAUGUCCAAUUUCACCACACUCAAAACAUGCUCUUCCUCCAUAAUAGCCUAUUCAAAUGUUUGUUCCUUGAUUUUCUGUUAUAGGUGUUGUGCUCCUACAGUAACUGGCAGUGUGUCCCUUCUUUUUGCCCUUAAUGCAAAUAUAACAGACACCUGCGUGCUGAUGGUUACAUUGACUGCACCAUGAACAGUUACCUAUGUGAUCACGAUUGCACUGAGUGCACAUUGGGAGUUUUCCAGCAUACUUCCUUGGUUGUAGGGGUAUUGCUGUUGUGGCUAAAAAAUUAGUUGCCACCUCUUGUCUCUCCUCAAAUGAUUGUAUGGGAUUCUUCCCAUUAAAUUUGUGCUUGUUCGUUCCAUAUUCAGGAGACUCAGCUAUAAAUCCCACUUGGAUUUCUAUGCUGGUUAGCUGAUGAGCUAUACGCUUUGCACUGUCAUAUGUUGUAGGCUUCGAUGCGAUCACCAUUCCUUUGAUUUGCGAUGCUAGACCCCAGAUAUAUCGCUCGAUCUUCUUAUACUCUGGGUUACUAGUUCUGGACACAUCACCACAAGAUCAUUAAAUCUAGAAGUAUAAGCAUUUAUCUUUGAACCCUUCAUGGUUAGGGUCCACAGUUCUUGUUCCAACUUAUGUAUUUCCUCCCUGGGACAAUACUCCUCUACUAGCAUCCUCUUCAGCUCUUCCCAUUGCAUGGAAUUGGCAUCAUCAAUAACCAUUGUAUUCACUUGGUUGUUCCACCAUGUAAGUGUUGCAUCAACAAAGGUACACGCAACAAAUAUUACCUUACAUUCGUUCGGACAGAAGCUUAUUUGAAAUACUGAUUCUGUCUUUUCAAUCCACUAAGUCAAGCUAACGACCCCUUCCGUUCCAUGGAAGCUCUUAGGUUUGUAAUUCAUAAAAUCCUUAUAGGUACACAUUCUGGAGGUCCUUACAUUGCCUUCAUUUCUAACUCCUCCUCUUGUGACAUUAGCAAGAGCUGCAGCGAUUCUCUGGGCUAUGAUUUCUUCAAGUUCUGCUGAACUUAUUGGAGGGUUUGUUUCUGGUGGUGGUGGUGGUUGCGGUUGUUAUUGUUCUGGUUCUGGUCGUUGGUUCAAGUUUAGACGAGCGCUACUUCUUCUAGGCAUUUUUUUAGUUCCUAUACAUUUUGGAUCACCAAGUGUUUAGUCUAUCAAAUAUUACUCCCAAUUUAAAUAGUUCAUAUGAUCUAAUCAAAAUAAAAUAUAGUUGUACACCUACAUCUAGUUGUGAUAAGAUCUAUGAGCAUAUGAACUUUAGUUGGAAUAUCUGAUCUAAAUACUUGAGAUAAAAAACAUUCCAGGUGUUUAGGUGUAUUCUCAUCGCGGGUCUGAGUCUUCAUAUAUGACCCUAUAUUUAUUAUUUGUUGUAUUCAUGCUCUAUUAAUUAUUGUUUGUUACUUUAGGUCUAGAUGAUAAGGCACCGGCCAGUCAGGACAGUCGAAGGGCAGGAUCAUUUUAGCAUAUAGCCGUUCUGAAAUCCAACAACCUAAGCAACAUGUCUAUCCUGUUACCGCUCCCGUAAGUAGUCCUUUAGCAGUAUAAUAAAUAAUAGUUUAUAUUUGUAUGCUAAGGGAUAUACCUAAACCUAACAGAGUAAGCCCUAAACUAUAGUCGUGCUUUCCUAAGAAAGUACUAAUUCACUAUAGUUAAUAGCUCUGAUACCAAGCUGUCACACCCCGACCGUCGGCGGAAACACCGUGCAGUGUAACGUCAUUUCUCAUAUCAUAGUUAUUAACUUCCUGAAAACACAUGCAUUUAAAAUACGUCAACAUAAAGUUGGUGAGUCCACAGGUUUUGACUAAUAAUACAUAUUCCGAGUUUCAAAAGUAUAGUUUUGAAAGUAUAAUUUUGACUCUCCAACGUUUACUAUAUAUAUCCUAGGUAUAAAAUUUUACUUACCAAAUAAGUAUAUACCUAUAAGUCUCAUAUACUAUGAAUAUAAGUGUUUGUAAUUCCAUACAAACAAAAGUUGCUACGUAUAAAUCUUAUUUUAGUUCUAUACGAGUAAAACCACUACGUAUAAAUCUAUUUCAAUUCUAUACGAGUAUGUGUGCUAGGUAUAAUUAUCUACUUAAUAGACAAGUUGUACCUAGGGUAUAAGUAGGGGAAACUUAUAAUUAACAUUAAUACUUGUAUAGCGACGAAGUAUAAUGUUUAUAACAAGUUGCUACCAUGAGUCUGUAACCGCUGCUUGACAACAAAACCUCUGACAAAACAAUACACUCAUGAUUUAUCAUGAGAAACAAUACACUCAUGAUUUACCAUGAGAAACAAACAUUGCGCGCUUCAUCGACGCCGGAAUAAAAAUAAAAGGAACGAUUCGUCACUCGCUUGUCUUGGGUUGUAAUCAACCACGAGUGGGGUCGUCAACCCGUAUCUUAUUCAUACACGACUUCCUCGCUCACAUGGGAUUAACGGUUACAGGUCAGAGGACUUCCACUAAGAUCCCCAAUCUUAGUUGAUGAAUGAGGUAGCUCAUGUAGACUUUGACGGAUUCCUAUAGCUCUAACAACAAAAGAAAUUUCAUGUCUAAAACCCUAAGUCAC
rnacentral:lncRNA from 1 species